GAAUUUUGUAAAAAGGAAAAUAGAAUCUGCUAAUCUCUGCCUCCGGUCUUCCUCGCUUCCUUCUCCGCAUCACUCGCGCUCGAAUUUCAUUGCACCUUUCUCCAUCUCUCCUUCUUCUUCUCCUAUCGCCAGAGCUUGAGAAAAAAUCUACAAUCUCAGGUUUCAGUUUUUAUCGGAAUGUCUUCGUCCGGCGGUAACUAUGGCGACGGAGCUGGCGGUGGCGCCGCCUCGCAUGGCCCUCAGCUCUUCUUCUGCUAUACGUGCAAUCGUACGGUAACCAUUACUCCCUCAUCAUCCUCCGAUCUUUUGUGCCCCAACUGCAACGAUAGCUUCGUUGAAGAAAUGGAUAGUCCAAACCCUAACCCUAGCCCUGUUCCCAAUCCUUUCCUCUCCUUCACAUCCGAGGCAUUUCCGCCGUUCAGCUCCGGUGGCGGUGGAAAUGGCGGUGGAAAUGGAGGUUUCCCGAUUAUAUUCUCCACGACAUCAUCAUCCGGUGGCAUUGGCGGUGGCGGUUCUAUGAUGAAUGAUCUAUCGGCGCUAUUGGGAGGCGGUUCUCAUCGGUCGACGUCCUUGCAAGACCCUGACGGUUUUAGUCCCUUGCUCUUCCUCCAGAACUAUCUUCAAAGCGCUAAUGUUCAAUUGGUAAUCCAGAACGCAUCGGGAGAGGCGUUUCAUCCCUCUUCCAAUUUCAAUCUUGGAGAUUACUUCUUCGGCCCCGGCCUCGAGCAGUUGAUUCAACAACUUGCUGAAAACGAUCCGAACCGUUAUGGAACCCCUCCCGCUUCAAAGUCGUCGAUUGAGGCACUUCCAAAUAUCAAAAUUACGGAGGAAUUGUUGGCCUCAGAUUCUUCCCAGUGCGCUGUUUGUAAGGAUACGUUUGAGCUCAACGAGGAGGCGAAACAGAUGCCUUGCAAACACAUAUAUCACGCAGAUUGUAUCAUUCCAUGGCUGGAAUUGCAUAAUUCUUGUCCGGUAUGUCGAUAUGAAUUGCCCACAGAUGAUCCCGAUUACGAGCAAAGGAAUCGUGGGACUUCAACUCCUAAUCGAAGUCAAAGCGAAAGUCAACCCUUUGGUGAUUCUUCUAUCCGUGGGGAAAAUGUUGGUGGAAGCGAUCCUAAUUCCGACGAGAAUUCACCGAGUCAACAGGAGCGGAGGGUUAGGAGGAUCGCAUUUCCUUGGCCAUUCAGAGGUUUUGGUUCGGCCGCUGAGACUAGUAACAGCGGAGGUGGCAACAAUAGUGGAAAUAGCGACGAACCUAGCUCCAGAAAUAGGGGAAAUCAGAGCUCUUCAGAACCCAUGCAGGAAGAUCUUGAUUGAUGAUUACUGGUAUUUGAAUGGUACUACGAAAUGAGAGUCAUCCACAAAUCACCAUGUCCAUGCCUUGGCAAUAUUUAUGUGUGAUAAGAUUUGAAGAAUGAAAUCAGAUACAAUAAGAGCAGGACUUUGAAUGAAUUUGGAGUUGUAUUAGAUAUGGACCUCUGGAACUGUACCCCCACCCCCAGCUUCUCUAUUCCUUGGUUUGAUUUCGAUAUUGCUGGCAUGAGGAACCUCAAUGGUUCGGAAGGCCGUUGGUUUCAGUCGAAGUUGAUAAUCUCCGUGAGAAAUUUCUGCAUAUGCACUUUUACACAAGUCCUAACUACCAAAUAUUAGAAGGUUAAAUGGUGUUGCAAGUGAUUUGAAGCUGGAACCAUUACUGAAUAUAGAAAACAUCCUUGUAUGUUAAUUAUUCGAGUUUUUCGAUUUUUGAAAUUUGACUAUAAUAAUCCAUAGGUAAAGGUCCUUCGAUCUUCUAUUUCCAUUUCAGAGCUCAGAAUUCUUUGUAGUUUAAGGAAGUUAUGUGCAUUAUUUUGUUUGCGAAGGUCUGUAAUACUUUGGCUUCUCCGGGAACCAUUUCAUGUAUUGAAAUGUUGUCUGCCUCACAUGUGGCUGUUCUGCACUUGCCUUUGUUGGUUUAGUUUACAUUGAAAAGUGAUUUCAUA